AGGGUCCUACGGGGCGCAGCAGUGAGGAAUAUUGGUCAAUGGGAGAGAUCCUGAACCAGCCACGCUGCGUGAGGGAAGACUGCCCUAUGGGUUGUAAACCUCUUUUGUCAGGGAGCAACGCCGGCUACGUGUAGCCGGACUGAGAGUACCUGAAGAAAAAGCAUCGGCUAACUCCGUGCCAGCAGCCGCGGUAAUACGGAGGAUGCGAGCGUUAUCCGGAUUUAUUGGGUUUAAAGGGUGCGUAGGCGGAAUGCCAAGUCAGCGGUAAAAUCGCGGGGCUC
rnacentral:rRNA from 1 species